rnacentral:rRNA from 1 species
AUUGAACGCUGGCGGCAUGCCUUACACAUGCAAGUCGAGCGGCAGCGCGGGGGCAACCCUGGCGGCGAGCGGCGAACGGGUGAGUAAUACAUCGGAACGUGUCCAGUAGUGGGGGAUAACCAGUCGAAAGAUUGGCUAAUACCGCAUACGAUCUACGGAUGAAAGCGGGGGACCGCAAGGCCCCGCGCUAUUGGAGCGGCGGAUGUCGGAUUAGCUAGUUGGCGGGGUAAAAGCCCACCAAGGCGACGAUCCGUAGCUGGUCUGAGAGGACGAUCAGCCACACUGGAACUGAGACACGGUCCAGACUCCUACGGGAGGCAGCAGUGGGGAAUUUUGGACAAUGGGGGCAACCCUGAUCCAGCCAUGCCGCGUGAGUGAAGAAGGCCUUCGGGUUGUAAAGCUCUUUCGGCGGGGACGAAACGGUUUGCACCAACACCGCAAACUAAUGACGGUACUCGCAGAAGAAGCACCGGCUAACUACGUGCCAGCCGCCGCCGUAA